CCUACGGGAGGCAGCAGUAGGGAAUCUUCCACAAUGGACGAAAGUCUGAUGGAGCAACGCCGCGUGAGUGAAGAAGGUUUUCGGAUCGUAAAACUCUGUUGUUGGAGAAGAACGUAUUUGAUAGUAACUGAUCAGGUAGUGAC
rnacentral:rRNA from 1 species